GGGUUGUGAGGUUAAGCGACUAAGCGUACACGGUGGAUGCCCUGGCAGUCAGAGGCGAUGAAGGACGUGCUAAUCUGCGAUAAGCGUCGGUAAGGUGAUAUGAACCGUUAUAACCGGCGAUUUCCGAAUGGGGAAACCCAGUGUGAUUCGUCACACUAUCAUUAACUGAAUCCAUAGGUUAAUGAGGCGAACCGG
rnacentral:rRNA from 1 species